GACGAACGCUGGCGGCGUGCCUAAUACAUGCAAGUCGAGCGAAUCACUGGGAGCUUGCUCCCGGUGGUUAGCGGCGGACGGGUGAGUAACACGUGGGCAACCUGCCUGUAAGACUGGGAUAACACCGGGAAACCGGUGCUAAUACCGGAUAAUCCUUUUCCUCUCAUGAGGAAAAGCUGAAAGUCGGUUUCGGCUGACACUUACAGAUGGGCCCGCGGCGCAUUAGCUAGUUGGUGAGGUAACGGCUCACCAAGGCGGCGAUGCGUAGCCGACCUGAGAGGGUGAUCGGCCACACUGGGACUGAGACACGGCCCAGACUCCUACGGGAGGCAGCAGUAGGGAAUCUUCCACAAUGGACGAAAGUCUGAUGGAGCAACGCCGCGUGAGCGAUGAAGGCCUUCGGGUCGUAAAGCUCUGUUGUUAGGGAAGAACAAGUACCGGAGUAACUACCGGUACCUUGACGGUACCUAACCAGAAAGCCACGGCUAACUACGUGCCAGCCGCCGCAGUAAGAC
rnacentral:rRNA from 1 species